rnacentral:rRNA from 1 species
UACGAAGGGGGCUAGCGUUGUUCGGAAUUACUGGGCGUAAAGCGUGCGUAGGCGGUUUCUUAAGUCUGCUGUGAAAGCCCCGGGCUCAACCUGGGAAUGGCGGUGGAUACUGAGGAGCUGGAGUACGGUAGAGGAAGGUGGAAUUCCCGGUGUAGCGGUGGAAUGCGUAGAGAUCGGGAAGAACAUCGGUGGCGAAGGCGGCCUGCUGGGCUCUUGCUGACACUGAGGCGCGACAGCGUGGGGAGCAAACAGG